rnacentral:rRNA from 1 species
CAAGUCGAACGGGAUCCCAGGAGCUUGCUCCUGGGUGAGAGUGGCGAACGGGUGAGUAAUGCGUGACCGACCUGCCCCAUACACCGGAAUAGCUCCUGGAAACGGGUGGUAAUGCCGGAUGCUCCAGUUGAUCGCAUGGUCUUCUGGGAAAGCUUUCGCGGUAUGGGAUGGGGUCGCGUCCUAUCAGCUUGACGGCGGGGUAACGGCCCACCAAGCCUUCGAUGGAUAGGGGUUCUGAGAGGAAGGUCCCCACAUUGGAACUGAGACACGGUCCAAACUCC